rnacentral:rRNA from 1 species
UACGAAGGGGGCUAGCGUUGUUCGGAAUUACUGGGCGUAAAGCGCACGUAGGCGGAUAUUUAAGUCAGGGGUGAAAUCCCAGAGCUCAACUCUGGAACUGCCUUUGAUACUGGGUAUCUGGAGUAUGGAAGAGGUGAGUGGAAUUCCGAGUGUAGAGGUGAAAUUCGUAGAUAUUCGGAGGAACACCAGUGGCGAAGGCGGCUCACUGGUCCAUUACUGACGCUGAGGCACGAAAGCGUGGGGAGCAAACAGG